ACACAUGCAGUCGAGCGGAACGAGUUAUCAGAACCUUCGGGGGACGAUAACGGCGUCGAGCGGCGGACGGGUGAGUAAUGCCUAGGAAAUUGCCCUGAUGUGGGGGAUAACCAUUGGAAACGAUGGCUAAUACCGCAUGAUGCCUACGGGCCAAAGAGGGGGACCUUCGGGCCUCUCGCGUCAGGAUAUGCCUAGGUGGGAUUAGCUAGUUGGUGAGGUAAGGGCUCACCAAGGCGACGAUCCCUAGCUGGUCUGAGAGGAUGAUCAGCCACACUGGAACUGAGACACGGUCCAGACUCCUACGGGAGGCAGCAGUGGGGAAUAUUGCACAAUGGGCGCAAGCCUGAUGCAGCCAUGCCGCGUGUGUGAAGAAGGCCUUCGGGUUGUAAAGCACUUUCAGUCGUAAGGGGGGUAAAGUGUAGUUAAUAGCUGCAUUAUUUGACGUUAGCGACAGAAGAAGCACCGGCUAACUCCGUGCCAGCAGCCGCGGUAAUACGGAGGGUGCGAGCGUUAAUCGGAAUUACUGGGCGUAAAGCGCAUGCAGGUGGUUUGUUAAGUCAGAUGUGAAAGCCCGGGGCUCAACCUCGGAAUUGCAUUUGAAACUGGCAGACUAGAGUACUGUAGAGGGGGGUAGAAUUUCAGGUGUAGCGGUGAAAUGCGUAGAGAUCUGAAGGAAUACCGGUGGCGAAGGCGGCCCCCUGGACAGAUACUGACACUCAGAUGCGAAAGCGUGGGGAGCAAACAGGAUUAGAUACCCUGGUAGUCCACGCCGUAAACGAUGUCUACUUGGAGGUUGUGGCCUUGAGCCGUGGCUUUCGGAGCUAACGCGUUAAGUAGACCGCCUGGGGAGUACGGUCGCAAGAUUAAAACUCAAAUGAAUUGACGGGGGCCCGCACAAGCGGUGGAGCAUGUGGUUUAAUUCGAUGCAACGCGAAGAACCUUACCUACUCUUGACAUCCAGAGAACUUUCCAGAGAUGGAUUGGUGCCUUCGGGAACUCUGAGACAGG
rnacentral:rRNA from 1 species